UUUAAAGAAAGCAAUGGUGUACUCUAGAUAAAGCAUCAACAAAUCACGGCAAUAGUCUGUUUUCAAUCCUUCAACGAGUUUCCUAUUUACUUCUCACCCUCUACAAGGUCAACACAAUCUGAUCAUAACAGAUAGAAGACUAGCCCUCCUGUCAUAAACUAUGUUAAAAUUAGACAAAAAUGCAUAAAGCAACUGUUUUCAGACGCUGGAAAACAAGCAGCACAGGAGUAUGAUCCUUGAGAGAAGAGAAACUAACAAGGUUAUGGUCCGGACUUGCUAUCCAAUAUGUGAUGCAGGGAGAGGAAGACCAAACAGAAAACAGCAGUCCCGCAGAGCUCAGAAGACAGAUCAGUGGUUUCAGGUUUUAGCCUCCAGCACCCUUGGUUCAAGGGUAGACGUCCCUUCAGCAGAUUUCAAUCCUCCACACAAGUUCUGGGCUUACUGGACUCCACACGGAGAAGUGAAGAAGGAACCCUCACUACUCCUCCUGUACCUCAACUCCGCCGUUGUCAGACAGCACUGCACUUUGACCCUUUACCAUCUCAAGUAACAGCAUGCUUCUGAGAAAACAUAUCUUCCUGUCAAAACGGAAAUGAGGUACAAAUGACACAACAACAAAAAAAAAAGAUGAGGAAGGAUAACCUGAAUCAUUCCCCGACCAGGAAUCGAACCCGUGGCCCCUGCAGUGGAAGCGCGGAAUCCUAACGACUGGACCGCCAGGGAAUUCCCAACAAAUUAUUUUAUUCAUCACAAUAGGAUCUACAUUUCAAAAAAACAGGAGCACGUAUAGAACUGAAAUAUUUAUUCAGCCUAUAGACAAUGCUUGAUAUGCAUAUGGAUAGCCGAUCCAAAAAUUCCAUAGCCAAUUCAGGUAUGUUCUGCCAACAGACUGAGAACCAAACUUUGGUGUAUCACAGAAUCACCUGUAAAGCCUGUUAAAACUCCAUACGCCUGGCCCCAGGCACUAACCACGUCUUGACUGUAGUUCAGUAUGUGUCCAACAGAUGUCUUCACGCUUCUAUCCAUCAAAGGGAAGGCACUCCAGUAAACAAUACAAAAUCUAACAGUAAGUCACGUAACAAUGUAAUUUCAGUACAAACAGAAAAUAUAAUGCUUAAUUUAAUUUUUGUUUUUCUUCUUUGGCUUUUAUUUGGGGGAAUUAUUUACCUGCUAUCUACAGAAUCAUGUUCAUAAACAAAAUGGGAAACUAAUCACAAAUGUUCCUGGAUAUGAAUGCCAUUUUAAUGUUACUGUAUUUCAUCAAAUCUAAGAUGCCACUGAUUGUAAGGUAAACCACUGUUUAAUGUGCUGGAAAGAAAAGAAGGAAAUGCCUCCAAAUAAACCAUGACCCAAGCUUCUA